GACGUAGGGGACGAGCGUUGUCCGGAUUCAUUGGGCGUAAAGCGCGCGUAGGCGGUUACGCAAGUCGGUUGUGAAAAUCCGGGGCUCAACCCCGGACCUGCAUCCGAUACUGCGUGACUAGAGGUAGGUAGGGGAGAUCGGAAUUCCUGGUGUAGCGGUGAAAUGCGUAGAUAUCGCUUGGAACGCCGAAGGUGAAAACAGGCUGCUGGGGUUGCGCCGACGCUGAGACACGAAAGCCAGGGGAGCAAACGGG
rnacentral:rRNA from 1 species